AACGAACGCUGGCGGCAUGCCUAACACAUGCAAGUCGAACGAGACCUUCGGGUCUAGUGGCGCACGGGUGCGUAACGCGUGGGAACCUGCCCUUAGGUUCGGAAUAACUCCCCGAAAGGGGUGCUAAUACCGGAUAAUGUCUUCGGACCAAAGAUUUAUCGCCUUUGGAUGGGCCCGCGUUGGAUUAGCUAGUUGGUAGGGUAAAAGCCUACCAAGGCGACGAUCCAUAGCUGGUCUGAGAGGAUGAUCAGCCACACUGGGACUGAGACACGGCCCAGAAUCCUACGGGAGGCAGCAGAGGGUAAUAUUGGAAAAUGGGGGAAAGGCUGAUCCAGCAAUGCUGCGUGAGUGAUGAAGGCCUUAAGGUUGUAAAGCUCUCUUACCCGGGAUGAUAAUGACAGUACCGGGAGAAUAAGCGCCGGCUAACUCCGUG
rnacentral:rRNA from 1 species